CCUCUUGAACUCAUCGAGCGUUGCCGCUAAUAAUUAAAAGUCCCUUGGGACUAUGGAUAUAAACGCGCUUGCAAUAAGCGGAUCGGACCCGGGGGCGGUACCCGGCGUCUCCACCAUCACGCCCUUAGCUGGGAUGGCUCAUUUGGCCGAUAUGGGGACGAAAUAGGAUCGACGAACGUCUAAAGAGGUUAGCUUUAUCUCGGCGAGUUACCACCGUAUCGGUACAUAAAAGCUAGUUGCAAAUGACAACAAUGCUCAGGUAGCACUCGCAGCGUAAGCUGUGCGUAAUACCGAAACUUAAGUCCUUUCGCCUAGCAGCGUAAGGCGGGGUUCGCAGGCACCUGGCAACAGAAGCCUGUAUU
rnacentral:tmRNA from 1 species